rnacentral:rRNA from 1 species
CUGCGAAGGAUCAUUA